UAAAAAAUUCAAGAACUCCACUAAUUUAAGAAUCACCAACUUUGACAUAUAAAAAGAGUUUGCAGUGUUAUGUGCCCUCUUCUUUCAAAAGGAAGCAUACGUCUCAUCACUGAGUGGACAAGGAGAAGGAAUGGAACACACAGACACAGACAUGCCCAUAUAUCAUCUACCAAAAAGAGGUGAACCAAGGGAAUGCAACACUAGGGACACAAGGGGCUCAAGACAUUAUAUCUCACUAAUCAAGAUGACAAUGAAAUAUUGAUUUUCUUAAACAUCUGAUGGGAUAAAACGCCAGUGAAAACACCAAAUUUGGUCAGUGUUUUCUCAUAUUGCCUACUCAAAGCCACUCUACAGCUGAAAAUUAAGUAAAACAGAACAUACAAAAGUGAAUUUGCGAUUGUUUAAAGUGGAAUUAAAUUGGUUUAACUAAAAGGCCAAACAGAUUGCAGUUAAAUGAAAUGGGGUAUCUGAAGUUAAGUAAUUCAAUUCUAAUUCACUUGGUUGUAAUAAAACAUUUAAACAUACACAUUAUGGAUAUAAGGUCACCCACUGUUUUGAGUCUCCCAAAAAGAAGCUCAUAGUUAACUUAUAAAUUAAUUUGAAAGGUUUUUAUAAAAUUGUAAAUGUUUUCCUGAGCCUUUAGAAAUGCUUUCAAGGGAAAUUACCAAGAAUG
rnacentral:lncRNA from 10 species